GCCCCCGUGGCGGAAUUGGUAGACGCGCCUGACUCAAAAUCAGGUUGUCGAAAGGCAGUGCCCGUUCGACUCGGGCCGGGGGCACCA
rnacentral:tRNA from 1 species